AGUGAACGCUGGCGGUAGGCCUAACACAUGCCAGUCGAACGGCAGCACAGUAAGAGCUUGCUCUUACGGGUGGCGAGUGGCGGACGGGUGAGGAAUACAUCGGAAUCUACUUUUUCGUGGGGGAUAACGUAGGGAAACUUACGCUAAUACCGCAUACGACCUACGGGUGAAAGCAGGGGAUCUUCGGACCUUGCGCGAUUGAAUGAGCCGAUGUCGGAUUAGCUAGUUGGCGGGGUAAAGGCCCACCAAGGCGACGAUCCGUAGCUGGUCUGAGAGGAUGAUCAGCCACACUGGAACUGAGACACGGUCCAGACUCCUACGGGAGGCAGCAGUGGGGAAUAUUGGACAAUGGGCGCAAGCCCGAUCCAGCCAUACCGCGUGGGUGAAGAAGGCCUUCGGGUUGUAAAGCCCUUUUGUUGGGAAAGAAAAGCAGCAGGUUAAUACCCCGCUGUUCUGACGGUACCCAAAGAAUAAGCACCGGCUAACUUCGUG
rnacentral:rRNA from 1 species